GAAAUGCGAUACGCAAUGCGAAUUGCAGAAUCCGCGAGUCAUCAGAUCUUUGAACGCAAUUGGCGCCGAUACCCUCGGCAUGUUUGUUUCAGUGUGGAAGGAAUCACAAAUCAAAAUGCGAUUGAAAGGGACUCCCCCUCAAAAGGGGAAAACCUUUCUCUCGUUAAACAAGUCCGGUGUCUGCGCGAAUACCGUGCGGGCGGCAGUCACCCCACAAACGAAGUAGUCUCUUCCAAGAGAUCUCGUUUGCAUAAAGGGUAAGCCGACCUCAGCCUCUAUUCAACUAAAGCGUGGUCCCAACUUAAUUUUAAUCUAUUUUUCAAUUACGCCUGAAAUCAAGCAAGACGACCCGCUGAACUUAA
rnacentral:misc_RNA from 1 species